GAUGAACGCUGGCGGCGUGCCUAAUACAUGCAAGUCGAGCGAACAGACGAGGAGCUUGCUCCUCUGACGUUAGCGGCGGACGGGUGAGUAACACGUGGAUAACCUACCUAUAAGACUGGGAUAACUUCGGGAACCCGGCGCUAAUACCGGAUAAUAUAUUGAACCGCAAGGUUCAAUAGUGAAAGACGGCUUUGCUGUUACUUAUAGAUGGAUCCGCCCCGCAUUAGCUAGUUGGUAAGGUAACGGCUUACGAAGGGAACGAUGCGUAGACGACCUGAGAGGGUGAUCGGCCACACUGGAAAUGGAACACGGUCCAUGCUCCUACGGGAGGCAGCAGUAGGGAAUCUUCCGCAAUGGGCGAAAACCUGACGGAGCAACGCCGCGUGAGUGAUGAAGGUCUUCGGAUCGUAAAACGCUGUUAUUAGGGAAGAACAAAUGUGUAAGUAACUAUGCACGUCGUGACGGUACCGAAUCAGAAAGCCACGGCUAACUACGUG
rnacentral:rRNA from 1 species